AUUGAACGCUGGCGGCAGGCUUAACACAUGCAAGUCGAGCGGGGUGAUGGUGCUUGCACUAUCACUUAGCGGCGGACGGGCGAGUAAUGCUUAGGAAUCUGCCUAUUAGUGGGGGACAACACCUCGAAAGGGAUGCUAAUACCGCAUACGUCCUACGGGAGAAAGCAGGGGAUCACUUGUGACCUUGCGCUAAUAGAUGAGCCUAAGUCGGAUUAGCUAGUUGGUGGGGUAAAGGCCUACCAAGGCGACGAUCUGUAGCGGGUCUGAGAGGAUGAUCCGCCACACUGGGACUGAGACACGGCCCAGACUCCUACGGGAGGCAGCAGUGGGGAAUAUUGGACAAUGGGGGGAACCCUGAUCCAGCCAUGCCGCGUGUGUGAAGAAGGCCUUAUGGUUGUAAAGCACUUUAAGCGAGGAGGAGGCUCUUUUGGUUAAUACCCAAGAUGAGUGGACGUUACUCGCAGAAUAAGCACCGGCUAACUCUGUGCCAGCAGCCGCCGUAA
rnacentral:rRNA from 1 species